rnacentral:rRNA from 1 species
UACGUAGGAGGCGAGCGUUGUCCGGAAUCACUGGGGGUAAAGCGCGUGUAGGCGGCCUGUCAAGUCUGCUGUGAAAGCGCCUGGCUUAACCGGGCGAGGUCGGUGGAAACUGGCGGGCUGGAGGCCGGUAGAGGGGGGUGGAAUUCCCGGUGUAGUGGUGAAAUGCGUAGAGAUCGGGAGGAACACCAGUGGCGAAGGCGGCCCCCUGGGCCGCGCCUGACGCUGAGACGCGAAAGCGCGGGGAGCGAACAGG